CCUGGCUCAGGAUGAACGCUAGCUACAGGGCUUAACACAUGCAAGUCGAGGGGAAACGNUAUUGGAAGCUUGCUUCCGAUAGGCGUCGACCGGCGCACGGGUGAGUAACGCGUAUCCAACCUGCCCAUCACUUGGGGAUAACCUUGCGAAAGUAAGACUAAUACCCAAUGACGUCUCUAGAAGACAUCUGAAAGAGAUUAAAGAUUUAUCGGUGAUGGAUGGGGAUGCGUCUGAUUAGCUUGUUGGCGGGGUAACGGCCCACCAAGGCGACGAUCAGUAGGGGUUCUGAGAGGAAGGUCCCCCACAUUGGAACUGAGACACGGUCCAAACUCCUACGGGAGGCAGCAGUGAGGAAUAUUGGUCAAUGGACGAGAGUCUGAACCAGCCAAGUAGCGUGCAGGAUGACGGCCCUAUGGGUUGUAAACUGCUUUUAUAAGGGAAUAAAGUGAGUCUCGUGAGACUUUUUGCAUGUACCUUAUGAAUAAGGACCGGCUAAUUCCGUG
rnacentral:rRNA from 1 species